GAGGAGGAGAUGGUGAUGUUGAUUACAAGCACAUAUCUUAAAAACAAAUGUGUGGAAGAACUAAGUUCUGAAUUUCCUCCUU
ensembl:snoRNA small nucleolar RNA, C/D box 121B